CCACAGCCAUAGUUGGCACCUGCCCAAGGAAAAAUAACCACUUAUCUGCAAAAACCCAACAGACCCCCUACCUAUCCCCGUAACCCCAACCUCCAGAGGUAGGGAGCUAUCUCUCUUCCUAGAAUGUUUAAUGAGAAAUUUACAAAGAAUGAGAAGGUAAAAUGCUCAGCAAAAUUCCAGGAAAAUUAAGGAGGGAAGGACAGCUUGAGACACUUAAUUCUCCAAGUGAGGUGUCAGUGCAGUUCCCAAAGCAACUCCAGCCUUGUCACCAUGCCUGCCAAUACCUCAGCUAGCAGAAUUCGUCGAAAAGCAUUGGCAAUGGCUGCGUCAAUUCCCACCAUGUCAAACUCCAGUGAGUUUUCAUCCAUGUGUACUACAUCCACACGGAAAUUCUAGAGGGACAGGAAAAAACAUUUAAGUGAAAUCUGCUCUCUGUGUAAUAUCUCUUCAUACCUCCCCCUUAGAUAAUUCCCUCAAGUAUUAUCCUCUCAUCCAAAAACCUCCCUUUGCCCAAAUGUCUCUUAUUAAAUAUUCUAUCUCGCCCA
rnacentral:lncRNA from 1 species